AACGUAGGGCCCGAGCGUUUUCUGGAAUCACUGGGCGUAAAGGGUGCGUAGGCGGGCGUGCGCGGCUGGGGUGAAAGGCUCCGGCUCAACCGGAGACAUGCCCUGGGCACGGCACGUCUUGGGUGCGGGGGAGGGCGAUGGAAUUCCUGGUGGAGCGGUGAAAUGCGUAGAUAUCAGGAGGAGUACCGUUGGCGAAGGCGGUCGCCUGGCCCGCAACCGACGCUGAGGCACGAAAGCGUGGGGAGCAAACAGG
rnacentral:rRNA from 1 species